UUUGUGUGGAUUUUUCUCAUAUAUGACCUUUUGUACGUACAUGUAAUGUUUGCAUGAAUAUCAAGACCCAUAAUUGCUUGGAUCAUCAUGUAAUCAAAAAUCUAUUUAACUUAGAUAGGUAUCUCCCUCUUUGGGACACACAGCUAUAAUAACAAAUGAAUAGCAUUCUAUGCCUUAUACCCCAAGUUGAACUCUCUCUAGUUUUUUUAACAUGAAAUUAAUUUGUGGACCAUAUACAACCAAACCAUUUCAUUAACAACUUGAAUGUUAUCAACUGAUGAAUCACUACACAGAGAACGUACCAAAGAUAAGCAAUAAAAGCCUAUACAUUUUCGGAUUAAAAGAAAAACGGUAAAAGAGCAAAGAUACCACAGUAUUUUACCACAAGUACGCAAAAAAAAAAACCUCUUAAAUUCUCAGGAAAUGAGUUGAAAUUAGCUGAUUGUUGCUAAAACGUUACAUAUCAAGUCUAGUUAAAAGUUGGUCACAGAUGUUGGGAUUUCGUGUUCUUGAUUGCAUACAAUAAAUAAUCAUUAUAAUUGCGCUACUUGCAGUUGGGUGAAUAUCACAAACUACAAUUCACAAUGCAGUUAUUACUUUGUGUAAGAUUUCUGCAUAAUUUGUUUGCUAUUCAAGAUGUUGUCACUCCAAAUAUACAAGCGUGUUUCAUGCAUUUUGUCAGGAUGAACUAAUUCACAAUUAUCUGUUCAUUUUAAUAAGCUGAUGAUAGCCUUCCUCUUAGAGAAUUAGUCCCAGAGUUGCAUAGCAUGUAAUACAGGUUAUUAAGACAUUGGUAAAUAAGAUUUACCAAUGUGUCUGCUUGUUGUGCAAACACUCAGAUGUAGGUAUACUGUCUUAAAAACAUUUCUGAAACAGUUUCCUCUAACAGGAAACCAAACCACAGAACUCUACAUUUUGGGAUAGCACUCACCGAAAGUGACAUAUCUGAUGACACGUGACCCUGUCAUGCACAAAGCAUGUUUUAGCGCUAAUUCUUCUUUAAAUGUCAGUCAUGGUAAUACCCAGAUAAAUUGUGAAUGUUACCUGUUUGACUUGAAUAAAUAAAACAUGUUAAACAUU